UACGAAGGGGGCUAGCGUUGCUCGGAAUCACUGGGCGUAAAGCGCACGUAGGCGGGUCCUUAAGUCAGGGGUGAAAUCCCGGAGCUCAACUCCGGAACUGCCUUUGAUACUGGGGAUCUUGAGUCCGGAAGAGGUGAGUGGAACUCCGAGUGUAGAGGUGAAAUUCGUAGAUAUUCGGAAGAACACCAGUGGCGAAGGCGGCUCACCGGUCCGGUACUGACGCUGAGGUGCGAAAGCGUGGGGAGCAAACAGG
rnacentral:rRNA from 1 species